ACUUGGAGCAGAAAGAAAAUAUUGCUCUGAUCUCACCAAAAGGAGACUGAAAGACUUCCAACCAGGGAAAGGAGCUUCUUGAGUAGGAGCCCCUCCGGACUUUGUUCUGUCCAGCCACUAAGACAGAAGUGACACAGGGCCCUUCUAGGCAGAAGCACAGAAGAACACGUGUGAAUUCCCCAUGUCUCGUCUUCUCUUGCCAGGACGCUGGAGACCCGUACCCAGUGCUACAGCUCCUAAUGUCAGAGCCUCUGUCAGCCAGAGUUCUUAGGAGGAUCCCACAGUCUCCACCACCAAUGCACAUCCGUCAUGAAUGUAGAUGUGAGCUGGAGCUGCUAUUUUGGACUACGAAGCAGAAGGCAUGUAUUGGGAGUGGCAGCACAAUGAGAGAAACGGAAACUGGGCCCCUGACACAGCUGAACUGCCGCUGCAUUUUGGCAUCUCUUUGUUAGUUGUUGAACUCAUAUCCCAAGUAAUACCGGACCUCAUUUACUAGAACCGUGCUCCACCUUUCUGGCCUGAAAACAAAUGUGCUGUCUGGAAAGAGCA